rnacentral:rRNA from 1 species
GAUGAACGCUGGCGGCGUGCUUAACACAUGCAAGUCGAACGGAAAGGCCGAAGCUUGCUUCGGUACUCGAGUGGCGAACGGGUGAGUAACACGUGGGUGAUCUGCCCUGUACUUCGGGAUAAGCUUGGGAAACUGGGUCUAAUACCGGAUAUGACGAUCUCUUGGAUGGGGUUGUGGAAAGCUUUUGCGGUAUGGGAUGAGCUCGCGGCCUAUCAGCUUGUUGGUGGGGUAAUGGCCUACCAAGGCGUCGACGGGUAGCCAGCCUGAGAGGGUGUACGGCCACAUUGGGACUGAGAUACGGCCCAGACUCCUACGGGAGGCAGCAGUGGGGAAUAUUGCACAAUGGGCGCAAGCCUGAUGCAGCGACGCCGCGUGGGGGAUGACGGCCUUCGGGUUGUAAACUCCUUUCGCAAUCGACGAAGCCUUUUGGUGACGGUAGGUUGAGAAGAAGCACCGGCUAACUACGUG